GAUGAACGCUGACAGAAUGCUUAACACAUGCAAGUCUACUUGAUCCUUCGGGUGAAGAUGGCGGACGGGUGAGUAACGCGUAAAGAACUUGCCUUACAGACUGGGACAACAUUUGGAAACGAAUGCUAAUACCGGAUAUUAUGACUGAGUCGCAUGAUUUGGUUAUGAAAGCUAUAUGCGCUGUGAGAGAGCUUUGCGUCCCAUUAGUUAGUUGGUGAGGUAACGGCUCACCAAGACGAUGAUGGGUAGCCGGCCUGAGAGGGUGAACGGCCACAAGGGGACUGAGACACGGCCCUUACUCCUACGGGAGGCAGCAGUGGGGAAUAUUGGACAAUGGACCAAAAGUCUGAUCCAGCAAUUCUGUGUGCACGAUGAAGUUUUUCGGAAUGUAAAGUGCUUUCAGUUGGGAAGAAGUCAGUGACGGUACCAACAGAAGAAGCGACGGCUAAAUACGUGCCAGCAGCCGCGGUAAUACGUAUGUCGCAAGCGUUAUCCGGAUUUAUUGGGCGUAAAGCGCGUCUAGGCGGUUUAGUAAGUCUGAUGUGAAAAUGCGGGGCUCAACCCCGUAUUGCGCUGGAAACUGCUAAACUAGAGUACUGGGGAGGUAGGCGGAACUACAAGUGUAGAGGUGAAAUUCGUAGAUAUUUGUAGGAAUGCCGAUGGGGAAGCCAGCCUACUGGACAGAUACUGACGCUAAAGCGCGAAAGCGUGGGUAGCAAACAGG
rnacentral:rRNA from 1 species